rnacentral:rRNA from 1 species
GAGUUUGAUCCUGGCUCAGAUUGAACGCUGGCGGAAUGCUUUACACAUGCAAGUCGAACGGCAGCACGGGUGCUUGCACCUGGUGGCGAGUGGCGAACGGGUGAGUAAUGCGUCGGAACGUAUCCAAUAAUGGGGGAUAACGCAGCGAAAGCUGUGCUAAUACCGCAUACGCCCUGAGGGGGAAAGCAGGGGAUCUUCGGACCUUGCGUUAUUGGAGCGGCCGACGUCUGAUUAGCUAGUUGGUGAGGUAAAGGCUCACCAAGGCGACGAUCAGUAGCUGGUCUGAGAGGAUGAUCAGCCACAUUGGGACUGAGACACGGCCCAAACUCCUACGGGAGGCAGCAGUGGGGAAUCUUGGACAAUGGGCGAAAGCCUGAUCCAGCAAUGCCGCGUGUGGGAAGAAGGCCUUCGGGUUGUAAACCACUUUUGGCAGGAAAGAAAUCGUUUGCGCUAAUACCGCGAAUGGAUGACGGUACCUGCAGAAUAAGCACCGGCUAACUACGUGCCAGCAGCCGCGGUAAUACGUAGGGUGCGAGCGUUAAUCGGAAUUACUGGGCGUAAAGCGUGCGCAGGCGGACUGUUAAGCAAGAUGUGAAAUCCCCGGGCUUAACCUGGGAAUGGCAUUUUGAACUGGCAGUCUAGAGUGCGUCAGAGGGGGGUGGAAUUCCACGUGUAGCAGUGAAAUGCGUAGAUAUGUGGAGGAAUACCGAUGGCGAAGGCAGCCCCCUGGGUCGACACUGACGCUCAUGCACGAAAGCGUGGGUAGCAAACAGGAUUAGAUACCCUGGUAGUCG